GACUUCGCUGAACACGAAUAUUAGUGAUUCAAAACAGUAAAACAUAUCACAGCGAUGAUAUUGUCAGUGAAAGUUACUUUUUUUUUGCAUUUUUCACACACAAACAGCACUUUUACUGAUGAUAUAAUUGUUGUGAUACGUUUUCCAGUUUUUUAAACACUAAUAUUUGUGUUCAGCGAUGUC